rnacentral:rRNA from 1 species
CCUACGUGAGGCAGCAGUGAGGAAUAUUGGUCAAUGGGCGCGAGCCUGAACCAGCCAAGUCGCGUGAGGGAGGACGGCCCUACGGGUUGUAAACCUCUUUUGCCGGGGAGCAACGGGCGUCACGUGUGGCGCCACUGAGAGUACCCGGAGAAAAAGCAUCGGCUAACUCCGUGCCAGCAGCCGCGGUAAUACGGGGGAUGCGAGCGUUAUCCGGAUUUAUUGGGUUUAAAGGGUGCGUAGGCGGAUCGUUAAGUCAGUGGUCAAAUUGAGGGGCUCAACCCCUUCCCGCCAUUGAAACUGGUGCUCUUGAGGGGAAGAGAAGUAUGCGGAAUGCGUGGUGUAGCGGUGAAAUGCAUAGAUAUCACGCAGAACCCCGAUUGCGAAGGCAGCAUGCCGGCUUCCGACUGACGCUGAAGCACGAAAGCGUGGGGAUCGAACAGGAUUAGAUACCCUUGUAGUC